rnacentral:rRNA from 1 species
AUCAACUUUCGAUGGUAGGAUAGAGGCCUACCAUGGUGGUAACGGGUAACGGGGUGUUAGGGCACGACACCGGAGAGGGAGCCUGAGAAACGGCUACCACAUCCAAGGAUGGCAGCAGGCGCGCAAAUUACCCAAUCCCGACACGGGGAGGUAGUGACAAUAAAUAACAAUACGGGGUUCUUUCGGAUUUCGUAAUUGGAAUGAGUACAAUUUAAAUCUCUUAACGAGGAACAAUUGGAGGGCAAGUCUGGUGCCAGCAGCCGCGGUAAUUCCAGCUCCAAUAGCGUAUAUUAAAGUUGCUGCAGUUAAAAAGCUCGUAGUUGAAUUUCGGGACCAUCAUGUCGGUCGUGCCUCGGUACGUACUGGCAUUGUUGGUUUCUCCCUUCUGACGAACCACGAUGUCAUUUAUUUGGUGUUGUGGGGAAUCAGGACUGUUACUUUGAAAAAAUUAGAGUGUUUAAAGCAGGCUCACGCUUGAAUACAUUAGCAUGGAAUAAUGAAAUAGGACGUUUGAUUCUAUUUUGUUGGUUUCUAGGAUCGACGUAAUGAUUAAUAGGGAUAGUUGGGGGCAUUAGUAUUCAAUUGUCAGAGGUGAAAUUCUUGGAUUUAUUGAAGACUAACUACUGCGAAAGCAUUUGCCAAGGAUGUUUUCAUUAAUCAAGAACGAAAGUUAGGGGAUCGAAGACGAUCAGAUACCGUCGUAGUCUUAACCAUAAACUAUGCCGACUAGGGAUCGGAUGAUGUUAAUUUUUUAAUGACUCAUUCGGCGCCUUACGGGAAACCAAAGUGUUUGGGUUC